rnacentral:rRNA from 1 species
GAUGAACGCCGGCGGUGUGCCUAAUACAUGCAAGUCGUACGCACUGGCCCAACUGAUUGAUGGUGCUUGCACCUGAUUGACGAUGGAUCACCAGUGAGUGGCGGACGGGUGAGUAACACGUAGGUAACCUGCCCCGGAGCGGGGGAUAACAUUUGGAAACAGAUGCUAAUACCGCAUAACAACAAAAACCACAUGGCUUUUGUUUGAAAGAUGGCUUUGGCUAUCACUCUGGGAUGGACCUGCGGUGCAUUAGCUAGUUGGUAAGGUAACGGCUUACCAAGGCAAUGAUGCAUAGCCGAGUUGAGAGACUGAUCGGCCACAAUGGAACUGAGACACGGUCCAUACUCCUACGGGAGGCAGCAGUAGGGAAUCUUCCACAAUGGGCGCAAGCCUGAUGGAGCAACACCGCGUGAGUGAAGAAGGGUUUCGGCUCGUAAAGCUCUGUUGUUGGAGAAGAAUAUGCGUGAGAGUAACUGUUCACGCAGUGACGGUAUCCAACCAGAAAGUCACGGCUAACUAC